rnacentral:rRNA from 1 species
AUGUCCUCCUCCUCUGCUCUCCCCCUCCCCCUCCCCUUCUUCUUCUUGCACCUCCUCCUCCUCCUGUUUCCGCCAUGCUGCACCGGCUGCUCCCGCCACCUCCUCCUCCACGCCGGCGCCAACUCCUCCUCCUCCUCCUCUCUCGCGGACAUGCUCCAGGUCCAGGCCGGCGACGGCGCCAACGUCACCGACGGCCUCAGGCGCUACCUCGCGCGCUUCGGCUACGCCUCCGUCCCUGACGACGCCGACGGCCAGCUCGUGGUGAGGCUCUACCAGUCCACCCUCGGCCUCCCCGUCACCGGCCGCCUCGACAACCGCACCCUCGACCUCCUCGCCACCCCGCGCUGCGGCGUCCCGGACCUGCACCUCCAACCGAACGCCACCGCCCGCUUCGCCUUCUUCGAGGGCCAGCCGCGCUGGGCGCGCCAGCCGGGCCACUUCCUGCUCACCUACGCCGUCGUCUCCUCCUCGCCGCCCUACCAGCCGCUCCCCCUCCCGCGCAAGGCCGUGCGCAGGGCCUUCCGCCGCGCCUUCGCGCGCUGGGCGCGCGUCAUCCCGGUGCGGUUCCGCGAGACGCGCGACUACAACAUGGCGGACGUGCGCGUGGGGUUCCUCGCCGGCGACCACGGCGACGGCGAGCCCUUCGACGGGCCCCUCGGCGUGCUCGGCCACGCCUUCUCCCCGCCCAGCGGCCAGCUGCACCUCGACGCCGCCGAGCGCUGGGCCGUCGGAGACAUGGCCGACGCGGACGCCGGCGCCGUGGACCUCGAGUCGGUGGCCACGCACGAGAUCGGCCACGUUCUUGGCCUGGCGCACUCGUCCGUCCCGGACGCCAUCAUGUACCCGAGCCUCAAGCCGCGGACCAGGAAGACGGAGCUGACCCUGGACGACGUCCGCGGCGUGCAGGCGCUCUACGGCUCCAACCCGCGGUUCAGCCUCAGCUCCCUCUCAGAGCCCGACACCUCCUCCGCCUCCCCCGCGGCGGCCUACACCAAUACCAGGUCGCCCGGGAAGACGACGACGGCGACGGCCAUCCCGCUCCUAUUGCUCGUCGCCAUCACACUCCUCUGCUAG